CAGCGCCACGAGUGGUAACCACGUUUAUUGGGCCUAAAGCGUCCGUAGCCGGUUUGAUAAAUCUUUUGUGAAAUUGUACAGCUUAACUGUACAGCGUGCAAGAGACACUGUCAAACUUGAGACCGGGAGGAGUCAGAAGUAUUCCAGAGGGAGCGGUAAAAUGUUAUAAUCUCUGGAGGACUACCUGUGGCGAAGGCGUCUGACCAGAACGGAUCUGACGGUGAGGGACGAAAGCCAGGGGAGCGAACCGGAUUAGAGACCCGUGUAGUCC
rnacentral:rRNA from 1 species